AAUCAAGUCUUGGUUGCACCAGUAGCAGGGGUGUUGUAUGCAUGAUUUACCAUGUUGAUUUGAUUGUUUUUUGAUUUUUAACGUCAACUGUUUAUUUAUUACUGGUAUUUUAUUUUCACUCUUGUAAAAAAGAAAAAAAAGAAAAACCACAUGUAGAGAAAAAUGCUGCAAUUAGAUUUUGCCAAAAGCAUCAUAAUACUAUGGACUUGGGCUGCUGUGUUUUUUUUUUCUUUUCAGCUAUUUCAAUUUAAUAAAGAAAUUAAUUUGAAUUCAGUCCAAUCGUGGAAAUAUGUGACACAGAGAAAGCCGGCCUGACGCUGUUCUUUCUCCUCUCCCCUGCAGAGAAACCAAUGGCGCAGGGUCCCCCAGGUGGUGUUAUCGGGGUCCUUGGAGGUGUCGUGGCCAUCGGCCUCAUCGUUGGCGUGGCUGUUACCGUCUUCAUGAUUCAUCGGCGGCACCACAAGUCUCACACUGAGACAGAUAAUGACCUCAUUGCUGUUGCUGCUGUUGCUGAUAGUUGUGUGACACAGGCUCCAGAGAAGCCAGAGUCCCCCACAAGGAAAGUAGAGGCACCUGACCCCAGUCUGUCCCCCGCUGACCCCUGCCCUCCUGAAUCCUCUAUUUUGUUGCCUGCAUGUAACGGUGGCCUGCAAGUGACAUACCUGAGCACACCAUUGUGA
rnacentral:lncRNA from 1 species